rnacentral:rRNA from 1 species
UACGGAAGGUGCAAGCGUUGCUCGGAAUCACUGGGCGUAUAGGGUGCGUAGGCGGCUUGGUAAGUUGGGUGUGAAAGCCCCGGGCUCAGCCCGGGAAGGGCACUCGAAACUGCCGAGCUGGAGUGCCGGAGGGGAGAGUGGAAUUCCUGGUGUAGCGGUGAAAUGCGUAGAUAUCAGGAGGAAUACCGGUGGCGAAAGCGACUCUCUGGACAGUUACUGACGCUGAUGCACGAAGGCCAGGGGAGCAAACGGG